GCCAGGCGCAAUGGUGUGUGCCUGUAGUCCCAGCUUCUCGUGAGGCUGACGCUGGAGGACCACUUAAGUUCAGGAGUUCUAAGCUGCUAUGAGCUAUGCUGAUCGGGUGUCCACACUAAGUUCAGCAUCAAUGUGGUGACCUCCUGGGAGCGAGGGACCACCAGGUUGCCUAAGGAGGGGUGAACCGGCCCAGGCUGGAAACGGAGCAGGUCAAAACUCCCAUGCUGAUCAGCAGUGGGAUUACACCUGUGAAUAGCCACUGCACUCCAGCCCGAGCAACAUAGCAAGACCCCAUCUCU
rnacentral:SRP_RNA from 1 species